rnacentral:rRNA from 1 species
GACGAACGCUGGCGGCGUGCUUAACACAUGCAAGUCGAACGGCAAGGCCCUGCUUUCGUGGGCUGCUCGAGUGGCGAACGGGUGAGUAACACGUGAGUAACCUGACCUAGACUUUGGGAUAACAUAAGGAAACUGGGCGUAAUCCCAGAUCGGAGCCCCUGCUGCAUGGUGGGGGUUGGAAAGUUUCGGCGGUUGGGGAUGGAUGCGCGGCUUAUCAGCUUGUUGGUGGGGUAGUGGCUUACCAACGCAUUGACCGGUACCCCACUUGAGAGGGUGACCGGCCUCAUUGGGACUGAGAUACGGCCCAGAGUCCUACGGGAGGCAGCAGUGGGGAAUAUUGCACAGUGGGCGGAAGCCGGAUGAGACAGCGCCACGUGCGUGAUGACGGCCUUCGGGUAGAAAACCGCUUUCGCCUAAGACGAAGCGUUAGUGACGGUAAUGGGUGAAGAAGCACCGGCUAACUACGUG